ensembl:lncRNA
AUGAACAUCUUGGAUGACAUGGGGUCCCGCCUGAUCCGCCUUGGUGAAUACCUGCUUUGCUGUGGUGGUCAUCUGUUCCACUAUGGGGAUCUUUGCUCCUGUAUGAUCUGCUGGCCUGGUGGUUCUCUGCUCCACCAUGGCUUCCUGCUUUGCCUGCUCCAAUAUGGCUUCCAUUGUUUCACUGUCUGCCACUGUUCCAUGGCCCUGGUCCUCCAUAGCUCUAAGGCCCAUGGUCUUGUCCUCUGCUCCACGGCCCAGGCCCACCACUGUUCUGUGAUUCUGAUCCUGUUUCCCUGCAUGGGCCUGGCCCUACCUCCCUCCCCCCAGUUCAGCCUCUGCUCUACCAGCCUCCUGGACGUUUGGUGUCUGGAUCUGCCCUUAGAGAGCAGGAUAUGUAACAUGGGUUUUUGGGGUUUUGUUCCUUGUUCAUUGUUUUCUUGUCUUAUUUUGAUAUUUUUGCCUCGUCAUGGUUCCUGUCUAGUCAUGUGAUACCCUUACCCUCAUAUUAUACUGCUAUUGGUUCAUUGGUUCAUGUGUCGUGUUCUCAUUGGUUGUCUUAGUCAUAUUUUCUGUCUCUCAUUGGUUGGUUCUUGUCAUGUGACCUGUAUUGUUUGAUAAAAAAUAGCCCUCAUGUUGCCAUUGUCUCUUCUCGAGUAUUGAUGCCAAAUGCCAAAUCAAUUCUGUUCAAGUCUGUUCAUGCCAGAUCAAGUCUGUUUAUGUCAAGUCUUUCUUAGUUCUUUUGGAUUACUUUGAAUAAAAGCUGCACUUAGGUUCAUCAACUCGCCUUCAGUGGACCGUUUGUUACAGUGAUAUAGCUAUUAAAAGUGUUAAAAUGUGUUAAACAAAUCAGUCAAUGAAUGAAUGAAUGAAUCAAUCAAUCAGUUGUAUUUAAUUAUGCAAAGAUAAAACUGUCACAUGACAUUUAUGGCUGCAAAAAAUAGUAUGCAAGGCUGAGUGCUAAUGAGAUUGCAUUAUACAGUUACAGUAGCAUACAUGCUGUUGAGAUGAAUGGUAAUGCUACAGGAUAGAUCUCCCCAGUAUUACCCCAAUCCAGGACAGUAACCUUCAUAGACAUUGAGGGGGACACGGCCCACAAUAAUUAGAAAAGGCCUAAUUGUCCCCUCCAAUAUUUCUGCUGCACUCCAUUAUACAGCACUGUGUUCGGAUGACAAAAAGGUUUAAAAGUUACAUUUUAAGCUUGGUAAAGAUGUCUAACAGCAUUCCACAAUGUCAAAAUUAUUGAGAUGACCAAUUAAAUUAAAGUAGGCAGAGUUUGCUUUUCACAAAAGCAGAGCUUGAAUUCUAGUACAAAGUGUCAGUUUUAAUGUUGAAAAAAAGUGAGGUUAGAUGAAAGUAGCGAAACAUUUUAUAUUUGACAACUGAAAUGUGACUAUCCAAUGUAAUAUCCAGUGAUGCAGUGAUACUAUUGACUCGUUUUCGCUUUAAAUUUCACAGUUUUUAAUUAAGAAUAUGAUAGAAUUUCCAUGAUUCAUGUAAUUUCAAACUGAAUGGGAGGAGACAUGCACUGUUUUCUUCUUAACUAGAACUGGACCAAGAAUUUCCUUCACCGUUGCAUUUCUUAUGUAAAAAAUGUUCCAUUGUUCAAAAUAUGAGUAUGGCCUUGUCCAAAACCAUCAAAGGGUUUCAUGCUGGAAUAUGAAAUCAGUCCCAAGCACCUCAACUCUAAUGAGACAAAAUUAAAAUGUUUGGAGGGACAACAGGAAAUUAUCAUUUAAACACACACAAACAUAUACAAACAAACACACACUGUCCUUUCAUUAGUACUUUUAGACGGAUCCUGUCAAACAAGCACACACUGACAUAGCCUGCUUGGACUGUAGGAAAAUCAGCUGUCUUGUAAAGACCUGCCAGUCUUAACCAAAAACAGUAUUCUUCAACAAAAUCCUUCACAUGAAAAACAAGACAUCCGUAGCCAGGGAAAGAAGAAAAAAACUGCUAAUCUCUCAGACCCUAGACAGACUACAUUCCAUUCUUUCAUUACUGCCAAACACAUCCUUAGUAUCUCCCCCAAAAAU